rnacentral:lncRNA from 1 species
CGGCUCCUGGGAGGCACCCUGUGUGAACUCUGCCCAGAUCACUGUGUUGGUGGGUGCGGGACUGGUGCAUACCGAUGGCCUCCAGGAUGAGCGUGUAGGCGGCUGUGGUCUCCCGGUCCAGGCCCACCACGGUUCUCACAACGGCAUCGCGGUAACCCACGCUGAACUUCCCAUCCACGUUGCCACCUGUGGGUGAAGGAGAGGAAGCUUCCGGCUGGGAAACAGAGCUCCCGGCCAGGGGAAGCGGGGACUCUGCUCCUGAGCUGGGACCCGCGAUGGAAGCCCUCCCAGAUUUGGAGCAGCUGUUCCAGCUUAAGGACCCCCACCAUUAUCUGGAGUUCAACCACGUAGAAGGCUGGAUUCACAGACUUCCCCUUCCCCGCUUUGCUUUGAUUUGUGAGAGAGUAACAACAAAAAUAAAAUUACAUCAAGCGUUCUUUUUUAAAAGUCACUUGAGGAUUUCAUUAUUAUUAUUUUUUUAAAAAACUGUUU